AUUGAACGCUGGCGGCAUGCCUUACACAUGCAAGUCGAACGGCAGCACGGGGGCAACCCUGGUGGCGAGUGGCGGACGGGUGAGUAAUGCAUCGGAACGUGCCCUGAAGUGGGGGAUAACGCAGCGAAAGCUACGCUAAUACCGCAUAUUCUGUGAGCAGGAAAGCAGGGGAUCGCAAGACCUUGCGCUUUGGGAGCGGCCGAUGUCGGAUUAGCUAGUUGGUGGGGUAAAGGCCUACCAAGGCGACGAUCCGUAGCGGGUCUGAGAGGAUGAUCCGCCACACUGGGACUGAGACACGGCCCAGACUCCUACGGGAGGCAGCAGUGGGGAAUUUUGGACAAUGGGCGAAAGCCUGAUCCAGCCAUGCCGCGUGAGUGAAGAAGGCCUUCGGGUUGUAAAGCUCUUCGGUGGGAAGAAUUAGCAUAGGCUAAUACCCUGUGUAGAUG
rnacentral:rRNA from 1 species